GCCAGGCUUGGUGGUGCAUGCCUGUAAUCCCAGCAACUCAAGAGGCUGAGGCAGGAAGAUCACAAGUUGGAGGCCAGUCUCAGCAAUUUAGAGAGACCUUGUCUCAA
rnacentral:sRNA from 1 species